rnacentral:rRNA from 1 species
UACGGGGGGGGCAAGCGUUGUUCGGAAUUACUGGGCGUAAAGGGCUCGUAGGUGGCCAACUCAGUCGGACGUGAAAUCCCCGAGCUCAACUCGGGAACUGCGUCCGAUACUGGUUGGCUUGAAUCCGGGAGAGGGAUGCGGAAUUCCAGGUGUAGCGGUGAAAUGCGUAGAUAUCUGGAGGAACACCGGUGGCGAAGGCGGCAUCCUGGACCGGCAUUGACGCUGAGGCGCGAAAGCCAGGGGAGCAAACGGG